rnacentral:lncRNA from 1 species
CCCGGACUCAGCCUCACAGAUGACUACCCGCUUUCGGACUCCCUCUCAGAGGGCUACCCACUUUGGGCCCCCUCUCAUUGUUGAGAGCUUUUCUGUGGCUCAAUAAAAUUCUUCUCUGCCUUGCUCACUCUCCUGAUUUCUCUUGAUCGUGGGACGAGAACCCAGAGCCUGCCAAACAGUGGCUGCUGCGAAAAGAGCUGUAACGUGUGCUCCUGCUUCCUGAGCUACAGGAGUGAAAAAAACUGCUGGACGCCACACACCCCGAUUUGCUGAGCUGCCAGCGCGGGACCAAACGAGUUGCGACACACCCCCAUUUGCCGAAGCUGCAGGUGGCAGGAACAAACGACAGCUGUUAACACUUCCUGGGGGGCUCAGACCUUGGGACUCCCCAGGCAAAAGCUAGAACACCCCUUGGGGCUCCACAGUUGUUGGCAUCUCCAAGUUUUCAGGGUAUGCAGAUGUUGAUUCCAGAAAGUAUCAUAUGUGGUCAGGAACAUGAGACAGAGAAAGAACGAAAACCCAAAUAAGAUUGCACAGAAGCUUAGGAAUAUGUGCAAGCCUAGAUGUGAUCCCAGUCCAACAGAUUUCACAGCCUUCUCUCUACCUGAGUUUUACUUCGGCUCCCUGACAACAAUGCAAAUUUGUCAAGCAGCUUGAUUGUCUGAAUCAAUCCUCACAGAAACCUAUUUUAUGGAUGAAGAAACAGAGGCUCAAAGAUGUUAAGCCAUUUCACUAAAGUCAUGCAAUCGGUAAGCUAUGGGGGCAAAGUCAAGCUAGCUAAAAAAUUGUGUUCACUCGGUGAAUGUCCUGUGAAUGACCUGUCUCCCUGUUUUACUUUUCUAACGCAAGAAUCUGGACCAAGGACUCACAGAGGAUAAUAGAAUAAGCAUUGAAUAAACUAGUUUGGUUGCUUACUGUUUAAAACCCAUUUUAGAAGGAAAUGAAAUAUAUUUUCUCAGAAAAUUAACAUUUUAAUAUCUUAUGAUUUUCAUCUACUUGCUUCUGUGUGUGUGUGGAUAUGUACAUUAUAAGUCCUAAGCCUAUCAGAAAAUUUCAUUUUCCUAGAUAAAAUCAUUGUACAGGGACUGACAAGUGAUCAAUAAAUUGAAUUUUGGUGAACUAUUGCUUGAAAGGCUGGGAGAAGCAUGUUCUCUCCUUUGCAUAUUGUCACAUCCAGAUGAAGCCUUGAAAUUCUUGAGUACACAACUUUCUGAUGGAACAUGAUGCUGAUACCAAAAAGACAGGCAAGAUGGGAAAUGUGUAGAUAAAUGGAUAAAUGAAUAAAUGGAGUCACAACACCUAGCUUAGGUGAAAAGCAGAAACUGGCCUACCUCCAGAAUUCCAGUGAUGUGUACUGCUGAUACAUUUCCUGAUGGUUUAAGCCCAUUGAUUUGGAUUUUUAUUAUUUGAUACAAAAUGUAUACUAAUUGAUAUGUUUGCAGAAUUGAAAUUCAUACACCCGCUCUGGCAGACACUAGCCAUGGGAUUUGGGGUUAACCUAAAUGGAUCCUCAACUUCUAACCAAAUAGAACUACAUUUCUACCCAAAUUGGUUGCUAUGAGUAUGAGACAGGACAA